GAGCUGCGAGGGAGGAUGGGAGGUUCAGAGUAGGAGGAGCAGCAGCAGCUGGACUGGCCUCCCACUUCCCACCCUCUGAGGGCUGCCAUAGGGGCUUCCCGAGCAAAAGCACCCAUCAGGUGCUGGGAUAAAGCCCGGAGCAGGAGGAGACUGCAGGAGAAGCCAGAUCAUCCGAGUCACCGGGUGCUGAGCCAGCGCCUCCUGGGGUCAAUCGAGACUCAAGACUUGGAACACUACUCGUGCAGAAGCCAGCAAGGUGGGACUGCAGCGGGGGCAUGAAGGAGCUGUGAAGAGGCUAGAGCCAAGUAAGGGGCUACCGGAGGUGGCUCAGGGGUCUGGCUCUGUCAUCAGGUCUCCUUGGAGAGCGGUGAGUUCACCAGGGCUGCCCUGGGCAGAGUGAGCUGGUGCUGAGAGAACUGCAACUGUGACAGCCUAGGGGCCAGACGCUGGACACGUGGCUGUGAUGAAUGGCAUAGAUGAGAGACCGCCACACCUCGCCUCACCCGCCUCCCUCCACACCUGCUUGCGUGCCCACCUCCUCGUAGUCGUUCUCCGGGGUCAGGAAAUCAUCCACGAUGGUGACCCGGGGGCCCAGCUGCUCGCUCAGCACGUCCAGGAAGCGAGAUGGGGCCUCACUAUGUUGCCAGGCUGGUCUCAAACUCCUGGGCUCCAUUGAUCCUCCUGCCUCGGCCUCCCAAAGUGCUGGGAUUACAGGCACGACCCACGGUACCCAGGCUACUUUCUUGAUCCACAGCUGAGGAGAAACCAGGCCAUACAGAGAUAGGAGCUGAAGGGACACGGUGAGAAGUGACCAAAAGACAAGAGUGUGAGCCCUCCGUUAUGCCUGGACAGGGCCACUAGAGGGCUCCCUGGUCUACUGGUAACGCCAGUGCCUGGGAAGGCACCCGUUGCUUAGCAGACCGGGAAAGGGAGUCUCCCUUUCCUGGUGGAGUUAAAGAAGACUCUGCUCCACCACUGCUUGCCCGCCCGCAGCCACCCAGAGGCCUAACGCUGUCCCUGUGAUGCUGUGCUUCAGUGGUCACGCUCCUGGUCCGCAUUCAUGUUCUGCCCUGUGCACUCGGCUCCACCUUCUAGAUAGCAGCAGCAGAAUUAGUGAAAGUACUAAAGUCUUUAAAAUGCAUAGAAGAAAUAAUUACGUAAGCUGUCCCCUCUUUCUCUCCGCCUCAGCUACCAAAUAGGGAAGGGCCCCCUGUCUGGCGGACACGUGACUCACAUGACCUUACCUAUCAUUGGAGAUGACUCUCACUCCAUACCCUGCCCCUUUGCCUUGUACACAAUAAAUAACAGCACGGCCAGGCAUUCGGGGCCACUACUGGUCUCCGCGUCUUGGUGGUAGUGGUCCCCCGGGCCCAGCUGUCUUUUCUUCUAUCUCUUUGUCUUGUGUCUUUCUUUCUUUUUUUUUUUUUUGAGACAGUCUGGCUCUGUCACCCAGGCUGGAGUGCAGUGGCACAAUCUCGUCUCACUGCAAGCUCCGCCUCCCAGGUUCAC
rnacentral:lncRNA from 1 species